GCCGCGCACCGCCCGCAGCGGCGGCACAGGCAAAGGCAGCGGGGCCGGCGGGUGCGCGCUGCCGGGGGGGCGGCCCCGCGGCGGGAAGGAUGCGGCAUGGCGAGGGGGCAGCGCUCCCGCGGAGCUCCCUGAGGCGGCCGGCGGCGGCUGGGCCGACGGGGCGCCCAGCGCUCGGCCCAGCCCCGCCGCCCGCGCGGCCGGGGCCGUGAGGGGCGGCGAGGCGGCAGCGGCGGCGGCGGGGCGGGCGCCUCGCGGGGAUGCCCGCUCGGGCCGGAAAGUUUCUUCCCCGCGGCGGCUCGGCCGCUUUCCGCUCGGACUUCUCCCCGGUCCUCCUCGGAGCUGGAGUGGCCGUAGGGAGCAGUGCUCUGGGUAGCCAGCCAUGAUCGCCACUGGAGGCCUCCUGAGGAUCUCAGCUAGGAAACAGGACCCCUUGCGACCCCAAAGCCAAGUCCCCAAACGCAAACACAAGGCCAAAAAGAAGCGCAAGAACGACGUGGUGGUGGUGAAAGGCAAGCUCAAGCUGUGCUCCCUCUCGGGGCUCAUCGCCCUCUGUGGCAUCCUGGUUCUGCUGGUGGGCAUCGCCUUGGCUGUGGUGGGCUACUGGCCGAAGCCCAGCCAGGUGUACAGAGAAGGCAGCUUCGGCGGAGGCCGGCAUCUGGCACCACAAGGUGGCACCCCCAAGAACCGCUCCUGGAGCCAGGAAGGGGCACAAGCAGGGGUCCAUCCACAGUCACACCCCAGAAUCAACGCCUCCACCACUGCUACCAGCUGGGGGUCCCCACAGUCUCCCCCCACCUCCUUGUCCCCCCAGGCCUCAGUGGGUUUCCUUUUCCGUCUUUUCUCGAGCUACUUGCAUUCAGACAAGCUGAAGGUGCUGGGCCCCCUCAUCAUGGGUAUCGGCAUCUUCCUAUUCAUCUGCGCCAAUGCAGUAUUGCAUGAGAACCGCGACAAAAAGACCAAGAUCAUCAACCUGCGUGACCUCUACUCCACUGUCAUCGAUGCCCACAGCCUGCGGACCAAGGAUGGAGGCACCCUGGCCUCAGCCCCUCUCAAUGGCUUUGUCAACUACGUGCAGUCCCGGAGCCUGGAGCUAAAGCCUGGCGGUGAAGGCCUGGGUGCUGCGGCCAUGCUGGCCAAGAGCUCCUGGCCACCAGGGCUGGGUGUCUCCCUUUCCCCGCCAGACCUGGCAUCCUCACCACGGCGUUCCUCUUUCUGCACCCCACCGCAGCCGCCCAGCCUGGCUGAGGCUGUGUACAGCAUCUACCAGGAGCAUGCUGACGUUGCUGGCCACACUGUCACCAGCCCACCCUGCAGCCCACCGGAGAGCUGGGGACGGUGCAGCACAGCCAGCUCCAUUGUCAGCUCUUCACUGAGUGCUUUUGCCCUCUUGCCCUUGGCACCGAGCAGCAGAGGGGGAGGCUGGCGGAGGCCCCCUGGUGAGAGGGGAGCCCGGGAGAUCCCACGGGGGGAGUUUGAACUGAGCCUGACUGACCUCAGCAGCAGUCACGUCAAGGGAGGCUGUGGGAUCAGGAGGCACAAGCUGGUUCUCAGGCGGCAGAGCACCAGCUGCUUGCCUGAUGCCAGGUGUCCCCUUUCCCCAGAGCCACCUCAGUCCCCAGCUGUCAGCAGGGGCCUGGACUCUAGCCUCUUGGUAAAGGCAUCUUCUAGCUACUCCAAAUCUCUUGAUCUGGGGGGGUCUCCCCCCUCAACCCCUCCUGCCAUCAUCAGGACGGACUCCCAGAGCUCCCAGUCUGAGCCUUCCAGCAGCAAUAAGGGCUACAGCCACCUGGAGGAGGCAGGCACCUCCUUGGAGUCAGUUGCCAACACCCCAGCCAGUAAAAUCCAGGACUGUGAGGACGAACCACCUGAGAAGACAGACCCCCCCAAGGCUACCAGCAGAGAACAAACAGGAAAGCAAUCCCAGCAAACUCAAAGACAGUACACAAAUAAAGAGAAACUGUUUAUGAUUUCUAGGUCGCAUGCUGCAUUAGGGCUGGAGGACGGGGAACUGGAGAGUACUGGCAUCUAAAUAAAACAGAGAAGGCAUGAGGACACCUUGCAGCCCUCCACACCUUCCCCUCCUUCUCCAUCUCCUUGUGGACUUAGGAAACCAAUCAAUAUCCAAAGAGCUGCAGUAUGUUACGCUUGAAAAUUGAAUUCCGUAUAGCCUGUAGAUGACUUCAGGAAGAAAAAGAAAAUCCUUUCUGUCUGAUCGUGAUUGUAUGUUUCAUGCAAGCCAAAUUGUAUUAAAUAUCCACAGUCCAGCAAGUUCUUUGGAUCAGAUUAAUACAAUUUCAGACAGUGUAACUGUGCACUUUACUGUUUUGAUUUCCAAGUGCCCCUUGUUCUCCUCUGAUUUCUUUCUUGCUGAUUUGCCACUAACUGCUUGAAAACUGCAGGCAUCUUUUUAAGCUCAAGAGCAGCGUGGUCUUCAGAUCAAGAAAGAUGAGCUCUCUCUUUGUUUUGGUUCAAUCACUAAAAAGUUUGCCAGGCCUUAAGGAUGACGUACCUUGACAAAGAAUGAGUUUGUUUAAAUUCUGGGGAAAAAAAGACAAUUCAGAAGAGACUGGAGCAGAACAGAGCUCUGAUGAUUUAGUUAAAACCAUUGCAUUCCUGAAUCCAAAAUACCUACUACUACGUGAUACUUUAUUAAGUAUUAUUACACGUGUAUUGACUAAUAGCAUUGAAAGAUUUUUUUUUUUAAAUAAAACAUUUACAAACAAAACUGCCACACAAAAAAAAGGUCCUUUAUUUUGGGAGAAGAAUAUAGGCACCAGUAUGCAAUGAUGACGGCAUUCAAAUAUCUGCCUGUAAGUGAUGUUUCCAAACCACACAAGAAGCCUGAAGUGGAACAGAGCCUUGAACACUUGUCCUCCAACAGGAGAUCCAUCCCUUAUCUCUAACAGAGCCUCUUUCUGCAUGCAAGGCACUGAAGUGCUGACUAUUUCCCUGUCUUUCAGACUCAUCAUGCACAAUAUUACAGGAAAUAACUUCGAAAAAGCAUAAGGCUUUCGGAAGACAUCCCUGCAGAAUAUUUAAGGACAUAAAUGAUAUUAGGCAGCUGAUGCCAUUCUGUUUCAAAUGAGGAACUUAAAAUGAGAACAAGGCAAGUCUGACAUUGUUUAUUAGUUCAUCGUGGUAACACUGCAUAAGGCGAUGAUAGUAGCAGCUCUUUGGGUUUUGGAAACUUAAAUCUGUCUGCUGUCAUUUCUAACUUAAUUAACACUGCAGACUGCUUUGGUGCUUGAAAAUGCAAACAGGGCAGUUCUUGUCCUUGCAUCUGUCUUUGCAAAGUGUACAGUGGCUGGAGGAGCAGCGGCACUGAAACAAGGGCAGGUGCUCAGGCUACAUUUCUCACUGUCUGUUCAGAGACUAAUAUAAGCAAAUUGUGGAAGGAAGUUGUUUCUUUUAGACUCUGUUGUGGUUACAGCUGAACCCAGGACAGACCUUUAGAGUUUUGAUGCAUCAUCACCUUAAUGAAGCAGUCGCACUUUUUAAGGAAAAGUUUGGGACUGACAUUCAGGAAAAGUGAGGAUACCUUCCUACUAAAGUUCUCUGCAAGGAUCUACUGCAUCUCUUCUGGCACACAGGAGGCAAAACCUGAAUAAAAGCUGUAGCACAGUUCUGGGAUCAAUGAGCUCCUGGUGCUGCAGCAGUGCUAUGCCUCGGUAGCCCUCUAGCUGGUCCGUGCUUGCAACUAGCAAUCUGGGAGAAGGAAAGGGGCACAUGGUGAGCUAAGGAAGGUCAGCAGUUUCUAGCCAUUACCAGUUUAUAAGUCAGCUGCCAGCAUGGCACCUAACAAGCCCCAGAAGCUACCCAAAGAGCAAAAGAAGCCAACAAGAUUGCAGGUUGCAUCAUCACUAGUGUUCACCAAGAAGGCACUAUUCAAGAUAGCACGCAAAGGAAAGCAACAAGUCACUGAAAUCUCUGUUUUACUUGUCCUUGCAGUUUUGGGUUGUCAAAUGUGGACAAAGAGGAACCACACAUACUGCAGUUGCAGCAGCAGCGGUUAGUAGCACUCAGCUGCUCCCAGCUAUAGCUGGCGCUGACUUGCUGUAACUCAUCACAGACUCCAUAUGAGCCCCGUGCAGCUCUGCUAGCAUCAUCCUACUCAGACAGAGGCAAAGAAAUAAAGGCUUUCCUUUCUUCAAAUGCAAGGAUCUAGUGUAACAGCCAAAAUAAGCCACCACCUCACUCCCUAGCUUCUUUCCCAUGCAUCUGUCCUCUCCCUGAGAGGCUGGACCACAAAAGGGCCAUCAAGGCUGCAGCGGAUGUAUCCUCCUGGCUUGACACAUGCACCUAU